rnacentral:lncRNA from 1 species
CGUGUCCUUGAAAAGUUAAUUUUGUUUUAUCUCUGGAUAUAGGAGGCUUCGCAUGACAAUGGAAGUUAAAAGCUUCCCAGGAUUUUGCUAAUCCAUAACCUAACACUGACCGUUGCUUCUGAAACUUCCAUAGAAGAAUGGCAAGAAGUUAAGAGACGAUUUCCUGUACUUGUAUAAGGAGCAAAAAAGUGUAUAAUGAAUACAUAUUUUUAGAAGCUCCAAAGUAGAAGAUGAAUGCAGCAAAUUGACAAAAGGGAACACACAAUUGAUCAUGGCU